AAAUAAAAGUGAAAUUUUUAUGGCACUUUUAAAACAAUCCAUAUCCACCUUGUGUGCAAUGUUUUUUGAGAAAAAAAAAACAGUCUCUUUAUUGAGAAGUGUUCUUUUUUCUCUUUUAACUUAUUAUAAACUCAUUUUUAUAAGAAAUCACGUCUGAUAAUAAUAUUAUUGAAUAACUUAAUUCAUAAAUA
rnacentral:misc_RNA from 1 species